rnacentral:lncRNA from 1 species
CAGGCUCCCUGGAACUUCUGGAUUUCUUCCUUCAAUCCUGACCAGUUGACACAUCUUCUGGGAUGUGAUAGGUGGCCUUUGAUGCACUAAAUCAUGUUUCUACUCCUGCAUGUGGAAGAUGUGAUGUGCCCUGUCAAUCACAAGAAGGCCCGUUCAGACUGCCCGUGGGUGGCUUGUUUGCCCACUAGGUGGCGCGAUUGGAACCCAAGGAAGAGAAUGGAAGUAGGGGGGAUUGCCGUGCCUACAGUAAAACAGGAGGCUGAAAUUUUGCCUCAGAGCCUGAAACCAGUUUCAUUGACUCUGGGGCUGCAAUUGAAGCUCACAGGGCACCUCCUUUCCAUCCCCUCCUUUCAGCCGAUUUUCUCUAAGACCAGGCGAGUAAGAAACUUAGACAGGGAUCCCCUUUCUUCUUCAUUCUAUGCCCCCUUCUCUGUCUCUCUUUCAGCUCUCUCCGUUCUCAAUUUACCUUGGAAGGAGGAACUGUGGGAGAAGAAAAUGUCUACUGUCGAUUAAGCGUGAUUUCCCUGUAGGGACAGCACAGCGCUUAAGUGGCUGGGCCGGUUGGCCUGAGUGGCAAGCUAGUUCCAUUGUUCCUACUGAAUGAAAACAGAAACGAGCUGGGAAAGGACGCAGCCAUUUUCGGAGCGGUCAAAGACGUUUAUACAUUAGAAGAGGUUUUAAAUGUUGGAGAAGGGGGACAGGGGUCUCAAACUUUGCCUCUGAGUUCCUGAAAAUGAUCUUAUAAAAUGCAACAGCAUCUUGCUGCAGCCAAAAUCUGCCUGGGAGCGUAACUAACAGACCUUUAGCAGUAGAGCCCCCUUUCUCUAGGGCUCCCUCUACUGGUCACCCUGGGAACUCUAGGCCCCUUUAAAUUAGCUUAGAAAGCCCCAGGCAGAGAGGGUCCGCCCUCUUCUCCAGGCAGGCUGGGCAGAUCCCCUGAUAGGCUAAGGUCCACUUGGCUCCCAACCAUUCAUAGUAGAACAUAGUUUUGGAGUUUACAGUCCCAAAGAUCCCGUUAUUCACACAGAGAAAGGCAUGAGGCAGCCCCACCUAUUUCUGAUUGCUCUUCCUUCCAGGGUGGCCACCUAAGAAUCCUCAUCAAGGCUUUUUCUCUUCAUUUGCUAACAAAGUGAUGGGGCUUUUUGUCUCUUUUUGUGUGCCUUUGUUCUCCAUAGGUUGUGGGGAAAUCCCUCCAGCAGUUAGGCAGACUGACCAAUACCACCCAGGAAACAAAGACACGAGCUAAUUCUGCCAUGGUUGUAAACUAGUCAUGAACCUUUUGAACAAUCUUAAUGGAGUGGGAUCAAAGGCAAAGUGGCUUUGUCUCCCAGCCUCUGGAAUUACUGCGUCCUUCUCUAGUAAGCAGGCCCUCUGGUGAUGACUUAGACUCAAAGGCCUGCUCACGCUCUACUAGUACAGAUGUUCCAGUGUAUUAAGGCUGUCUACUUCUCUGUCCUGCCAGGCUCAGGACAGAAGGGACAGGAAGUAAGAGGGGCAAAGGCAUGGGCCAUCUGUCCCUCUUGCUCCUCACCUCAGAGUGAAGGCACAUGUCUCUCCUGGGGUCUCCUCCCUCAGGCUCCAGACUCUAGCCCAAAAGAAAGGCUGAAGGGGCUAAAGGGGACGAAGCCAAGGUGAAGGACGAGCCACAGAGAAGAUCUGCAAGGUUGUCUGCUAAACCUGCUCCUCCAAAGCCAGAGCUCAAACCUAAGAAGGUCCCUGCAAAGAAGGGAGAGACGGGGAAAGCCGAUGCCAGUAAGGAUGCGAAUGUUCCUGCAGAAAAUGGAGAUGCCAAAACAGACCAGGCACAGAAAGCUGAAGGUGCUAGAGAUGCCAAGUGACUUGUGUGCAUUUUUGAUAACUGUGUACUUCUGGUGACUGUACAGUUUGAAACAUUAAUUUUUAUCAAGUUUUA